UACGGAGGGGACUAGCGUUGUUCGGAAUUACUGGGCGUAAAGCGUACGCAGGCGGCUAUGUAAGACAGGUGUGAAAUCCCCGGGCCUAACCUGGGAACUGCAUUUGUGACUGCAUAGCUAGAGUCCGUCAGAGGGGGGUGGAAUUCCACGUGUAGCAGUGAAAUGCGUAGAGAUGUGGAGGAACACCGAUGGCGAAGGCAGCCCCCUGGGAUGAGACUGACGCUCAUGUACGAAAGCGUGGGGAGCAAACAGG
rnacentral:rRNA from 1 species